rnacentral:rRNA from 1 species
UACGUAGGGGCCUAGCGUUGUCCGGAAUUAUUGGGCGUAAAGAGCUCGUAGGCGGUUCGGCAAGUCGGAUGUGAAAUCUCCACGCUCAACGUGGAGGGGCCAUUCGAAACUGCCGUGACUCGAGUUCGGCAGGGGAGACUGGAAUUCCUGGUGUAGCGGUGGAAUGCGCAGAUAUCAGGAGGAACACCGGUGGCGAAGGCGGGUCUCUGGGCAGUGAACUGACGCUGAGGAGCGAAAGCGUGGGGAGCGAACAGG